rnacentral:sRNA from 1 species
CCCAUGCCACUAUGCUAUCUCUAACUCUGCCAUCGAGACCGAGCAAACGCACUUAAGACCUUUGUGUAAGAUCAGAAACUCAUAAGACAGCAUUAAAAAGUACUAUACAGGAGGAGAUGGAAUAAGAUGGCCAAAUAGAAGCCUCUGGCAAUCAUCUCCCCCAAAGGAAUUGAACAACUAUCGAAACAAAAUUGAACAACUCUCUAAACAAAAAAAGUACCUUCAUAAAAAACAAAAAUCAGUUGAUAUUAUGGAUUCCCAUAAGGAUUCAUGUCUCCUAUUCACUUUAAUGAACAGUUGUUGGGCAACAAUUCUAGAAGAGUUCCAACUCUCAUCAGGAGUAUGGACAAGGUGGAGAAGCAGAGAAAAUGCAAUGAGUAGAAUGUCUAAGUCAUCACUUUGGAAUUGACUGAACAUAAAUAAAAAUGAGAAAGAUACGUAAAAAAGAAGGGAAUGGUUGCCACAGCCCCCAUUUUGCAAACGAGGCAGCUGAGGUUCCCAGAGGCUCAAUACCAGCACCAUGGGCCGAAGCACGCAGGGCAAACACAGCCGGAGCCACCACAGCGGCCUCGAGUACGCCGACCCCGAGAAGUUCGCGGACUCGGGCCAGGACCGGGAUCCCCACCGGCUCAACUCGCAUCUCAAGCUGGGCUUCGAGGAUGUGAUCGCAGAGCCGGUGACUACGCACUCCUUUGACAAAGUGUGGAUCUGCAGCCAUGCCCUCUUUGAAAUCAGCAAAUACGUAAUGUACAAGUUCCUGACGGUGUUCCUGGCCAUUCCCCUGGCCUUCAUUGCGGGAAUUCUCUUUGCCACCCUCAGCUGUCUGCACAUCUGGAUUUUAAUGCCUUUUGUAAAGACCUGCCUAAUGGUUCUGCCUUCAGUGCAGACAAUAUGGAAGAGUGUGACAGAUGUUAUCAUUGCUCCAUUGUGUACGAGCGUAGGACGAAGCUUCUCUUCUGUCAGCCUGCAACU